rnacentral:rRNA from 1 species
CACGGGGGGAGCAAGCGUUGUUCGGAUUUACUGGGCGUAAAGGGCGCGUAGGCGGCGUGACAAGUCACUUGUGAAAUCUCCGGGCUUAACCCGGAGCGGCCAAGUGAUACUGUCGUGCUAGAGUGCGGAAGGGGCUACUGGAAUUCUCGGUGUAGCGGUGAAAUGCGUAGAUAUCGGGAGGAACACCAGUGGCGAAGGCGACUACCUGGCCUGUUCUUGACGCUGAGGCGCGAAAGCUAGGGGAGCAAACGGG